CAGGUUCUCAAUCGACAGGAGACUCGUAUCGCGCGUUGAACACGUAUGGUCAUACACCAUUGCACGAAGCUGCAUCUCGGGGUCAUGAUGGUAUCUUACAAAUGUUGCUUAAUCAUGGUGCCAGUGUGAACGCGGUGAACAAUCAUGGUGAUACACCAUUGCACGACGCUGCAUCUCGGGGUCAUGAUGUUAUCUUACAACUGUU